rnacentral:rRNA from 1 species
AAGUCGUAACAAGGUUUCCGUAGGUGAACCUGCGGAAGGAUCAUUACACAAUUCGGGGCUUGCCCUGUCUUACCCACCCUUGUUCUUGUACCCGUUUCCUCGGUGAGGGCCCCGCCGAAGGACCAUUUUAAAACCACUUGUAAUUGCAAUCAGCGUCAGAAAAAACAAAUAUUUAAAACUUUCAACAACGGAUCUCUUGGUUCUGGCAUCGAUGAAGAACGCAGCGAAAUGCGAUAAGUAGUGUGAAUUGCAGAAUUCAGUGAAUCAUCGAAUCUUUGAACGCACAUUGCGCCCCUUGGUAUUCCAUGGGGCAUGCCUGUUCGAGCGUCAUAUAAACCCUCAAGCUCUGCUUGGUGUUGGGUGUUGUCUAGUAGACUCGCUCUAAAUUUAAUGGCAGCCGGCAAUCGGUGUAGAGUGCAGCACAUUGUUCUCUUGCAGAUGCGCCGUCUUACCAAAAAGAAGACCAUUUUUUGACCUCGGAUCAGGUAGGGAUACCCGCUGAACUUAAGCAUAUCAAUAAGCGGAGGAAAAGAAACCAACAGGGAUUGCCUUAGUAACGGCGAGUGAAGCGACAACAGCUCAAAUUUGAAAUCUGGCUCUUUCAGAGUCCGAGUUGUAAUUUGCAGAGGGCGCUUUGGCGUUGGUAGCGGUCUAAGUUCCUUGGAACAGGACGUCACAGAGGGUGAGAAUCCCGUACGUGGUCGCUAGCCUUCGCCGUGUAAAGCCCCUUCGACGAGUCGAGUUGUUUGGGAAUGCAGCUCUAAAUGGGAGGUAAAUUUCUUCUAAAGCUAAAUACUGGCCAGAGACCGAUAGCGCACAAGUAGAGUGAUCGAAAGAUGAAAAGCACUUUGGAAAGAGAGUCAAACAGCACGUGAAAUUGUUGAAAGGGAAGCGCUUGCAGCCAGACGUGCCUGUAGUUGCUCAACCGAGCUUUUGCCCGGUGUAUUCUUCUACUGGCAGGCCAGCAUCAGUUUGGGCGGUUGGAUAAAGGUCUCUGUCACGUACCUCCUUUCGGGGAGGCCUUAUAGGGGAGGCGACAUGCAACCAGCCUGGACUGAGGUCCGCGCAUCUGCUAGGAUGCUGGCGUAAUGGCUGUAAGCGGCC